GGUGACCUGCGGAGGGAUCAUUACUGAGUUUACGCUCUAUAACCCUUUGUGAACAUACCUAUAACUGUUGCUUCGGCGGGUAGGGUCUCCGCGACCCUCCCGGCCUCCCGCCUCCGGGCGGGUCGGCGCCCGCCGGAGGAUAACCAAACUCUGAUUUAACGACGUUUCUUCUGAGUGGUACAAGCAAAUAAUCAAAACUUUUAACAACGGAUCUCUUGGUUCUGGCAUCGAUGAAGAACGCAGCGAAAUGCGAUAAGUAAUGUGAAUUGCAGAAUUCAGUGAAUCAUCGAAUCUUUGAACGCACAUUGCGCCCGCCAGCAUUCUGGCGGGCAUGCCUGUUCGAGCGUCAUUUCAACCCUCAAGCUCUGCUUGGUGUUGGGGCCCUACAGCUGAUGUAGGCCCUCAAAGGUAGUGGCGGACCCUCCCGGAGCCUCCUUUGCGUAGUAACUUUACGUCUCGCACUGGGAUCCGGAGGGACUCUUGCCGUAAAACCCCCCAAUUUUCCAAAGGUUGACCUCGGAUCAGGUAGGAAUACCCGCUGAACUUAAGCAUAU
rnacentral:rRNA from 1 species